rnacentral:rRNA from 1 species
GGAUUGGGGAUGUCUAAGGCCAUGCGAGUCAUUGUAGCAAUACAAGGCAGACGGCUCAGUAACGCGUAGUCAAUCUACCCUAUGGACGGGAAUAACCUCGGGAAACUGAGAAUAAUACCCGACAGAACAUUAUACCUGGAACGGUUUAUGUUUCAAAUGAUUUAUCGCCGUAGGAUGGGACUGCGGCCUAUCAGUUUGUUGGUGAGGUAAUGGCCCACCAAGACUAUUACAGGUACGGGCUCUGAGGGGAGUAGCCCGGAGAUGGGUACUGAGACACGGACCCAGGCCCUAUGGGGCGCAGCAGGCGAGAAAACUUUGCAAUGUGCGAAAGCACGACAAGGUUAAUCCGAGUGGUUUCUGCUAAAGAAACCUUUUGCUAGUCCUAGAAACACUAGUGAAUAAGGGGUGGGCAAGUUCUGGUGUCAGCCGCCGCGGUAAAACCAGCACCUCAAGUGGUCAGGAUGAUUAUUGGGCCUAAAGCAUCCGUAGCUCGUUUUGUGAGUUUUCGGUUAAAUCCAUACGCUCAACGUAUGGGCUGCCGGGAAUACUGCAUAACUAGGAAGUGGGAGAGGUAGACGGUACUCGGUAGGAAGGGGUAAAAUCCUUUGAUCUAUUGAUGACCACCUGUGGCGAAGGCGGUCUACCAGAACACGUUCGACGGUGAGGGAUGAAAGCUGGGGGAGCAAACCGGAUUAGAUACCCGGGUAGUCCCAGCUGUAAACUAUGCAAACUCAGUGAUGCAUUGGCCUGUGGCCAAUGCAGUGCUGCAGGGAAGCCGUUAAGUUUGCCGCCUGGGAAGUACGUACGCAAGUAUGAAACUUAAAGGAAUUGGCGGGGGAGCACCACAAGGGGUGAAGCCUGCGGUUCAAUUGGAGUCAACGCCGGG